GGCUGGACUAUUUAUUACCCUUGUCUUUUGCGCACUUGUUGUUUCCUGGGCGGGUUCGCUCGCCACCAGGACCACAAUAUAAACCUUUUUUAUGCAGUUGCAAUCAGCGUCAGUAUAACAAAUGUAAAUCAUUUACAACUUUCAACAACGGAUCUCUUGGUUCUGGCAUCGAUGAAGAACGCAGCGAAAUGCGAUACGUAGUGUGAAUUGCAGAAUUCAGUGAAUCAUCGAAUCUUUGAACGCACAUUGCGCCCUUUGGUAUUCCAAAGGGCAUGCCUGUUCGAGCGUCAUUUGUACCCUCAAGCUUUGCUUGGUGUUGGGCGUUUUUGUCUUUGGCCCGCCAAAGACUCGCCUUAAAAUGAUUGGCAGCCGGCCUACUGGUUUCGCAGCGCAGCACAUUUUUGCGCUUGCAAUCAGCAAAAGAGGACGGCAAUCCAUCAAGACUCCUUCUCACGUUUGACCUCGGAUCAGGUAGGGAUACCCGCUGAACUUAAGCAUAUCAAUA
rnacentral:rRNA from 1 species